GACAGAGGGUGCAAACGUUGUUCGGAAUUACUGGGCGUAAAGCGCGCGUAGGCGGCUUUGUAAGUUAGAGGUGAAAGCCCGGAGCUCAACUCCGGAACUGCCUUUAAAACUGCAUCGCUUGAAUCCAGGAGAGGUGAGUGGAAUUCCGAGUGUAGAGGUGAAAUUCGUAGAUAUUCGGAAGAACACCAGUGGCGAAGGCGGCUCACUGGACUGGUAUUGACGCUCAUGCACGAAAGCGUGGGGAGCAAACAGG
rnacentral:rRNA from 1 species